CCGUCCCCUCCGCCCCCACGCCCCCUCCAGCGCCUCUCCCUCGGCUCCAGCCCACCCCGGACGUUUCUGUGGAGGAGGGUGGGGGGCUGAACGCGGGAGAGUGACCGAGAAACCCGACCCCACCCUCUCCCGGCCCAGAGGGAGGCAGCAGCUGUCGCACCCCUCACCCCAAGCCUCCUGCUCUCCCCUCUGUGCCAAGUGGGCAAAAAACCCAGAGACCACCAUGCCUGGGCUGGGCGUGAACCCAGACUCCUGCUCCUCGGAAAUGGAGGGAAAUGGCCCCCCACAUCAGCAGACCAGAUGGUGCCCCCCCACCUACCCACGUGGAGGGCUGACCUUCCGAAUCUCAUCCACGCGGGCUCGUAUGUGAAUCUCCUCUGGAAACACUCUCAGAGACACACCACAAAAUAACGCUUUA